rnacentral:rRNA from 1 species
UGGGGAAUAUUGCACAAUGGGCGAAAGCCUGAUGCAGCAACGCCGCGUGAGCGAUGAAGGCCUUCGGGUCGUAAAGCUCUGUCCUCAAGGAAGAUAAUGACGGUACUUGAGGAGGAAGCCCCGGCUAACUACGUGCCAGCAGCCGCGGUAAUACGUAGGGGGCUAGCGUUAUCCGGAAUUACUGGGCGUAAAGGGUGCGUAGGUGGUUUCUUAAGUCAGAGGUGAAAGGCUACGGCUCAACCGUAGUAAGCCUUUGAAACUGGGAAACUUGAGUGCAGGAGAGGAGAGUGGAAUUCCUAGUGUAGCGGUGAAAUGCGUAGAUAUUAGGAGGAACACCAGUUGCGAAGGCG